GAAUUUUGAAAAGGCAUUUAUCGCAACAUCAAAAAGUAAAAUGCUAUAAUCAACUCAAGAAAAAAAUAAUAAUAAAUGCAAAUUUAGUUUUAACAUUCCUUAUUCAGACUUGUCGAUAUUCAACAUAUGUUCACCAAAAUGAUAGAUGCAUCAUUAUCAUGUUUCGGAGAGGUGAUCUUGAGAGAAUUUUUGUUGUGCAAACUUUCCACUUAGACAUUCACAUUUUCCAUCGAUGCACUUGCCACUACCGGGAAUUGAUCCACACAUUUCAUCACAUAUUUUAUCAUCUUUGCAAGCAACAACAACUUCUUCGGUUGAUCCUCUGGGUAAACCUAAAAUCAAUAUUGUUUGAUUUCAUAAUCAGUUGAUUUGGAAUUGUUAAUUUGCAAGAAGCAUUUGGAAUAAAAACAUAGAGACUUAAAAUUUUCUACAAGUAGGACACGAGAUAAGUACUGUAAAAUAUACAUACCAGAAGAAGCAAUUAACAAAAGAACAACCAAGCAAGCCAAUUUCAGUUGAGAAAUCUUUUCCAUUCGCUCAAAUUUGUGUAGUAUGGAGGAGACAAAAGUGCCAAGGAGUUGGUAUUUUAUGGUUUCAAUAUUGGUACAUAUGAAACAUCUAGAA
rnacentral:lncRNA from 1 species